ensembl:lncRNA
CCUGUCACACGCCCCACGCGGUGAGAAGCGAGCGAGCGAUUCCCACAGCCCAAGGAGAGCGCAAGGACUGGUGGCUGAAGCGUCUGCAGCAGCCUCCCUCGACCCCGCCCCGGCGGUGACGUGUGCCAGCGUGACCAGGAGUCCACCUUCCUCAUCCUGGUUCUCCACAGUGAGUGAUGCCCAUAAGGGACUGGGAGCAGAGGGGCCUCCCGAGUGGCCUGUGAGACAACUUGUGUGUUGGUAAUUUGGCAAUCAUAGGAAAUGGGCAACAGAGGCCUGCUCCGGAGGAGAAAUUCGCCCAGCCUAUUUGAGUGCAAUCACGGAUUCAGGCUGUGCCAGAGAAAGCCAUUGGAUUUCCCAACUCGGCACACUAAGUGCUCAAUGAAAGCUCACCAAAUGGGGUAUUGAUGCCAUCGAAUGGACUGCAACAGAUGGAAUAUAAUUUGGAAAAACCCUUCUGCCAUCCAAAGAGACCUUUCCUUUCCUGAAGCUUCCCCACUGCAAGCAGAGGGGUUUCCAUGGAGUCUAUAGCAUACCAGAGCAUAUCACAUCGUCUACAGCAUAUAGCGUACAUAGCAUAGUAUAUGGCAUCGUCUGUAGCAUAUUAUAGCCUAUAGCCUACUUCACUGAAGACCAAGUAAUGUCCAUCUGCCUUGAAGUGGGGUUUUCAUGUGCAGCCAAAGAUAAUAAUAAUAUUGAGUCCUCUCACAACCUAAUGAGGUGCCAGUGUUAUGUCCAUUUUAUACAUGAGGAAACUCUGGCCCAGAGAGGUUAAGUAGUAACUUGCUGAAGACCAGGCAGCUAGGGAGGGCAGAGAAAGAACUCAGACUUAGCCCUCUGAAUAAACUAGGCACAGACAGGCAGGAGGCUCCAACCUCUGCACAGAAUAUUAUUCAUUUGGCUCAUCUUCUCAAUCCUGGAGGACCCUUGAGAGACAUGAAUGCAACACCACCUUCUGGAAUUACUGACAGAGGAAUUUCCUCCCUGUGAUGUCUCUUGCUUUCGUAUCAAGCUUCUGAGCCGUGCUUGGAGCUCCCUCGUGACGAGGCCAGGGCAAGUGUAACUGCAUCUAACAGGAGAAGGCAGAGGCACAGAGAGAAGUGAUACGAUCACUGUGUUACACCUGUUGGAAAGCAAUCCUCCAGAGGAAAUAACUGAGAACAGGAAACCAAAAGCUUCAACACAGACCUAUCCCCAAGGAGCUGAGCGUCUCAGGACUUGAGGUCCUCUGUAGGGGCCCACAGCAAUACAUGACUGCUUGGGUAAUUCACAUUUUACUUUUAUCUGGUCCUUUCUUCAAGAGCUGAGGCACCUGCAGAAAACUAGAAAGACCGUGGUGGGCUCUGACAUCGGAAGACUUAGAUGCACGCCGCUGGGCUGUCACAGUUCUCUUUGAGCCCAAGUUUCCUCAUCUAUAAAGUAGGUCAGUGCUAGAACCCACCACAUAGGAUUGCUGGGAGGACUCAUUCAAGCAAAGAAUGUCCAAGCACUUUUUAAAGACCAGGUUUAAAGACCGAAAAUGAAGUCACGCUUGACUGCAACCUUCAUAGGGAGGCUGAGUCAUGAGAGAAGAUGGUCGCACCCAAACUCUGACACCACUCUCUCCCUUCUACAUUGACACGACAAAGUGAUGAGAACCACCCGGUGCUCACAAACUCUCCGGAGAACAUCACCCACCUCUCCAAUUCCAAACUCGAGGCUGGCAGUCUGGGAUUGUGUGGCCAUAGAAAAUGAGCCCAGUGCAAAGUGCCAUCCAACAACGAGUCUUCUGCGUCAGCCUCUAAAUCCCCAAGUAAAUGUUGGUUCACUGGUUUGUUGAUUAAAAUCACCAGUGGCGCAGCCAAUGGCUGCCCAGAGACCCAAGGAGCUGAAGCAGCAGGGAAACGACCAGGAAUCCUUCCACAGUGAGCCUCACAUGAUUCUAGACUUAGCCCUUCUCUCACACCCUUUCCCUUCCUUUCCUCUCCCUCAAUUUUCCUACUCCUGCCUCCCCUAACCAUGAGUCAACCCUCCCCACAUCAACAGAAAUUCACUCCCUUAAGAGUGCCCCUGGACUGGAGAAAAUAAUCAUUAACUUAAUAGGCUGCUAUAAUUACAUUAAAUAAUGAUGAUGAUAAUAAGAAUAUAGACUUUGGAAGAAGGAAACUUGAGUUUGAAUUCAAACUCUACCACUUAUCAGCUCAGUAAUUUGGGAUAACCAAACCUCAGUUUCCUCAGUAAAUUGGGAUUGGUUAUGAAACAGUUCAGACAGUUGUUAAAAGGGG